CAUGCAUGUAAGGCCGGGGUUACAGUGAGCUCAUAAAGGGAAGGCUGGGGCUUAUCUUCGUUUGGAGUUGCCAGAAGAUUCCAUGAAGCAUCACAGGAGACUGGGGAAAUGAGAGGAAGGGAAGGAAGCUACCACUGGGUGCCCUGGCAAGACGUCGCCACCCUGGGCUUGUGGCACUGAAGUACCUCUACUAGUUGCAGGGACCCAAGGCAGAACACAAGCCUCGGAGUGUACAACUCUUGGAAAGCCAAAUGUCUGACAUGGCAAAUGCCCUCUCUCCUUCCUUGCAUAUGAACUAUAACCAAGUGCCAAAACAUUUCUGUUAUCGCCUGUGUAGCUGCACAUCCACUCUGUCCAGAAAACAAAAUGCUGAACCCAAUGAAGACAGCAAGAGUGUGACAGCCCCUGCAGAAAAAGUGAGACCCAGAACAUAGCUCUGCAUGCUUCUCUGUGAAGCAGAAAUAGAGGAGAAGCAGCAAGCACACGGAAAAGAAGCAUCAAGUGUCCGUAUCUUCAGGAUGGUUUUGCUCAUGACUUAAAUAUACUGGCAUAUUCCUUGCUCUUGUAUGUGUCCUCUGGGCCACCUUCACAGCUUAGCUUAAAAAAAAAA